GAUGAAGAACGCAGCGAAAUGCGAUACGUAAUGUGAAUUGCAGAAUUCAGUGAAUCAUCGAAUCUUUGAACGCAUAUUGCGCUCUCUGGUAUUCCGGAGAACAUGCUUGUUUGAGUAUCAGUAAACACCUCAACUUCCAUAUCUUUUUUGAAAUGGGAGUUGGACUUGAGUGAUCCCAACGCUUUUCCUCACCGAAAAGUGGCGGGUUACUUGAAAUGCAGGUGCAGCUGGACUUUUCUCUGAGCUAUAAGCAUAUCUAUUUAGUCUGCCUAAAAAACAGAUUAUUACCUUUGCUGCAGCUAACAUAAAGGAGAUUAGUUCUUGUGCUGACUGAUGCAGGAUUCACAAAGACAGGCUUCGGCCGACUUUGUAAACUCGAUCUCAAAUCAAGUAAGACUACCCGCUGAACUUAAGCAUAUCAAUAAGCGGAGGA
rnacentral:misc_RNA from 1 species